rfam:Danio rerio chromosome 25, GRCz11 reference primary assembly.
CCAAAGGCUCUUUUCAGAGCCACUUCAGUACAUCAAAAAACUGCAAU